rnacentral:rRNA from 1 species
UCGCUACUACCGAUUGAAUGGCUUAGUGAGCUCUCUGGACUGUUGUAUCCUGUUGGCAACUUCAGGACACAUACGGGAAGGAGAUCAAACUUGAUCAUUUAGAGGAAGUAA